rnacentral:rRNA from 1 species
GACGAACGCUGGCGGCGUGCUUAACACAUGCAAGUCGAACGAAGAGCGAUGGAGGCUUGCUUCUAUCAAUCUUAGUGGCGAACGGGUGAGUAACGCGUAAUCAACCUGCCCUUCAGAGGGGGACCACAGUGGGAAACGACUGCUAAUACCACAUACGAUCUAAUCUCGGCAUCGAGGAUAGAUGAAAGGUGGCCUCUACAUGUAAGCUAUCACUGAAGGAGGGGUUUGGGUCUGAUUAGGUAGUUGGGUGGGAAACGGCCCACCAAGGCGAGGAUCGGUAGCCGGUCUGGAGGGGUGGACGGCCAACUUGGGACUGGGACCCGGCCCAGACUCCUACGGGAGGCAGCCGGGGGGAAUCUUCCGCAAUGGACGGAAGUCUUACGGAGCCACGCCGCGUGAGUGAAGACGGCCUUCGGGUUGGAAAGCUCUGUUAAUCGGGACGAAAGGCAUUCUUGCGAAUCGUGAGAAGGAUUGACGGUACCGGAACAGAAAGCCACGGCUAACUACGUG